GUCAGUGGAGCCCGAGAUGCAGGUAUCAUGCUGCCCUCACUCCACCACUCAAAGCGUUUCACAUCCACUUCCUCCCCCAUUUCACGUGUUUCGUCCUGCCGCUGGGCUCUUCUAAGCUGCUUCCCUCAAGUCCUCUCCUCUCUCCUACCAGCCUGCCUUCUCAGCUGGAAAUGACUGAGGGCUUCCU